rnacentral:tmRNA from 1 species
GGGGGCGUAAAGGUUUCGACGGGGAUCUUGAAUCACGGUAAGCGAGCAGAGGUGCGGAAGCUCUUUAAAACGCCGCAAUUUUAAAAUUAAACGCUAAUAAUAACGAAUUAGUAGCUGCCUAACUUAGGCGGCCGUCAUACCUGUGAGGACUGCGGCGCGGGCUAUGGCGUCAAUUAGCAGUGAACGUGAACGUGUCAAUGCUUUGAGGCACGGCAUGAACUGAUAAGCUACCGGUUAUGUGAGCCUGACGGCCGGCGCACAUAAUGGGGAAUCCUAUUGACCGUCUACGCUCGUAGAAAGCUGUGGGGAUGGGUUUUCGGACAGGAGUUCGACUCUCCUCGCCUCCACCA